rnacentral:pre_miRNA from 1 species
CGUCAAAGUGGUGGUGAUUUGUUGUGGAUAAGCUCAUAUCACAGCCAGCUUUGAUGUG